UAACAAACAACUGAGCCUAUGAACUAAAGGGGGAAGAAGAAGAAGAAGAAUUUUGACAUGGAGAGGGAACUCGAAGUGCUUACUGGAGUGAGGAUUUACCUGAAUUUCUUGCUUCAACUGCGUUUGCAACAUCACCAAGGAACCCUCAGGUUGGUAGAGUCUUUAUGUUUCAUCUUUUUCUUAUUGAAAUUCAUUCACUACGAUGUAUCAUCCCCCCAAGGGAGCCAAUCCCCUAGGGUUUGAGCUCCAUUUCAUUCGUCGUUCGCAUUUAAUUUGAGUUUUUUAUGUCUAGGGUUAGUAUGUAAUGUCGUUCGAUUCGGUUUCUGCGAUGAGAAUUGGGAAAAAGUAGCAUUGAAAUAUUUUAGAGGGGAUCAAGACUAGUGGUUUAGUGUGUUAAUGUUGUUGUUUGGACCUCCGCCACCGCCAAAGGCGAUUUCCAGCGCGGCGGAGCAGAGGUUCCGAUGAGGCAUUGUUUGAGAGGGAAGGUUAGACGUUUGAACACAUAAGUUAGAAUGAAUUCAUACAUUGAACCCUAUU
rnacentral:lncRNA from 1 species